rnacentral:rRNA from 1 species
UCCUACGGGACGCAGCAGUGAGGAAUAUUGGUCAAUGGGCGGAAGCCUGAACCAGCCAAGUCGCGUGAGGGAAUAAGGCCCUACGGGUCGUAAACCUCUUUUGCCGGGGAGCAAGGGCGGGGACGUGUCCCGGCCCGGAGAGUACCCGGAGAAAAAGCAUCGGCUAACUCCGUGCCAGCAGCCGCGGUAAUACGGAGGAUGCGAGCGUUAUCCGGAUUUAUUGGGUUUAAAGGGUGCGCAGGCGGUCUGUUAAGUCAGCGGUCAAAGUCCGGGGCUCAACCCCGGCCCGCCGUUGCAACUGGCCG